UACGAAGGGUGCUAGCGUUGUUCGGAAUUACUGGGCGUAAAGCGCGCGUAGGCGGCUAUACAAGUCAGAGGUGAAAUCCCGCAGCUCAACUGCGGAACUGCCUUUGAAACUGUAUAGCUGGAGUAUGUGAGGGGAUGGCGGAAUUCCUAAUGUAGAGGUGAAAUUCGUAGAUAUUAGGAGGAACAUCGGUGGCGAAGGCGGCCAUCUGGCACAUAACUGACGCUGAGGCGCGAAAGCGUGGGGAUCAAACAGG
rnacentral:rRNA from 1 species